rnacentral:rRNA from 1 species
GCAUAUCAAUAAGCGCAGGAAAAGAAACCAACAGGGAUUGCCUCAGUAACGGCGAGUGAAGCGGCAACAGCUCAAAUUUGAAAUCUGGUCUUUCGGGGCCCGAGUUGUAAUUUGUAGAGGAUGUUUUGGGUACCGCCCCGGUCUAAAUUUCUUGGAACAGAAUGUCAAAGAGGGUGAGAAUCCCGUCUUGGAUCGGCGGUAGGGCCUGUGUAAAACUCCUUCGACGAGUCGAGUUGUUUGGGAAUGCAGCUCAAAAUGGGUGGUAAAUUUCAUCUAAAGCUAAAUAUUGGCCAGAGACCGAUAGCGCACAAGUAGAGUGAUCGAAAGAUGAAAAGCACUUUGAAAAGAGAGUUAAACAGUAUGUGAAAUUGUUGAAAGGGAAGCGCUUGCAACCAGACUUGCGCGCGGCGGUUCCUCGCGCCUUUUGGCGCGGGUACUCCGUCGUGUUCAGGCCAACAUCGGUUCUGAGGGUCAGUUAAAGGCUCUGGGAAUGUACCUACCCACGGGUAGACUUAUAGACCAGGGUGUCAUGUGGCCUCUCGGGACCGAGGAACGCGCUUCGGCUCGGAUGUUGGCGUAAUGGUUGUCAGCGACCCGUCUUGAAACACGGACC